rnacentral:misc_RNA from 1 species
GAUGAAGAACGCAGCGAAAUGCGAUAAGUAAUGUGAAUUGCAGAAUUCCGUGAAUCAUCGAAUCUUUGAACGCACACUGCGCCCCCUGGUAUUCCGGGGGGCAUGCCUGUCCGAGCGUCAUUGCAACCCUCAAGCGCGGCUUGUGUGUUGGGCUUCGUCCCCCCGUGGACGUGCCCGAAAGGCAGUGGCGGCGUCCCGAAUGGUGCCCGAGCGUAUGGGAACUCUCUUCCGCUCGAACCGGCCCAUUCGGCGCUGGUCGAACCCCAAUUUUUUACCGGUUGACCUCGGAUCAGGUAGGGAUACCCGCUGAACUUAAGCAUAUCAAUAAGCGGAGGA